rnacentral:rRNA from 1 species
UACGUAGGGCGCAAGCGUUGUUCGGAUUUACUGGGCGUAAAGGGCGCGUAGGCGGCGUAACAAGUCACUUGUGAAAUCUCCGGGCUUAACUCGGAGCGGCCAAGUGAUACUGUUGUGCUAGAGUGCGGAAGGGGCUACUGGAAUUCUCGGUGUAGCGGUGAAAUGCGUAGAUAUCGAGAGGAACACCUGCGGCGAAGGCGGGUAGCUGGGCCGACACUGACGCUGAGGAGCGAAAGCCAGGGGAGCAAACGGG